AGGCUGCCACCUCUCCACUAGCUAUCUGGAAAAGCACAGUGAGCAGAGUCUGCAGCCGAGCCGCGGGUGGAACCGAACCCCAGCCUGUCCGCGAAGUGCCUGGGUGGGGCAUGGCCCAGCCCUCCCUGCCCCGCUCAGACCGAGCUCUCAAGCUCCGAAGCUGCCUUCUCCUCUCCAAUCGCCAAGUUCCCAGAGGCCAAACCUCCACUGUCCAGGAUGAACUGUGCCUGUAGCAAGCUGAACAGUGACUGACCCUCUGCUAAAAAUUGAAGGCGCGUCCCAGUCUGGGGUGAAACACUAGCGAUGAAAACGGUCUCUAAACCGUGGCAGAGAAAAAAGAAA
rnacentral:lncRNA from 1 species